rnacentral:rRNA from 1 species
UACGUAGGGUGCGAGCGUUGUCCGGAAUUACUGGGCGUAAAGAGCUCGUAGGUGGUUUGUCGCGUUGUCCGUGAAAACUCACAGCUCAACUGUGGGCGUGCGGGCGAUACGGGCAGACUGGAGUACUGCAGGGGAGACUGGAAUUCCUGGUGUAGCGGUGGAAUGCGCAGAUAUCAGGAGGAACACCGAUGGCGAAGGCGGCAUUCUGGACCAUUACUGACGCUGAGGAGCGAAAGCCAGGGGAGCAAACGGG